AUUGAACGCUGGCGGCAGGCCUAACACAUGCAAGUCGAGCGGAUGAAGGGAGCUUGCUCCUGGAUUCAGCGGCGGACGGGUGAGUAAUGCCUAGGAAUCUGCCUGGUAGUGGGGGAUAACGUCCGGAAACGGGCGCUAAUACCGCAUACGUCCUGAGGGAGAAAGUGGGGGAUCUUCGGACCUCACGCUAUCAGAUGAGCCUAGGUCGGAUUAGAUAGUUGGUGGGGUAAGGGCCUACCAAGGCGACGAUCCGUAACUGGUCUGAGAGGAUGAUCAGUCACACUGGAACUGAGACACGGUCCAGACUCCUACGGGAGGCAGCAGUGGGGAAUAUUGGACAAUGGGCGAAAGCCUGAUCCAGCCAUGCCGCGUGUGUGAAGAAGGUCUUCGGAUUGUAAAGCACUUUAAGUCGGGAGGAAGGGCAGUAAGUUAAUACCUUGCUGUUUUGACGUUACCAACAGAAUAAGCACCGGCUAACUUCGUG
rnacentral:rRNA from 1 species